GAUGAAGAACGUAGUGAAAUGCGAUACUUGGUGUGAGUUGCAGAAUCCCGUGAACCAUCGAGUUUUUGAACGCAAGUUGCGCCCGAAGCCGUUAGGCCGAGGGCACGCCUGCCUGGGUGUCACACAUCGUUGCCCCAAUGCCAAUCGCCUCACUUUGUAGGUAUUUGCUUGGGGUGAAUGUUGGCCUCCCGUGAGCUUUGUCUCACGGUUGGUUUAAAAUCGAGUGCAUGGUGUCGGGUGUACCAUGAUGGAUGGUGGUUGAGUGAUGAUGCUCGAGACCAAUCAUGGGUAACUCCACCAGAAUUGGGCUCGGUGACCCACAUGCGUCCCUUGGAUGCUCCCUAAGGAGACCUCAGGUCAGGCGGGGCUACCCGCUGAGUUUAAGCAUAUCAAUAAGCGGAGGA
rnacentral:misc_RNA from 1 species